rnacentral:miRNA from 1 species
UGUGACAUGUGUUAUAUCUGU